rnacentral:tRNA from 1 species
UCCCUGGUGGCUCAGAAGGUUAAGCAUCUGCCUGCACUGCAGGAGACCCGGGUUUGAUCCCUGGAUUGGGAA